rnacentral:rRNA from 1 species
UACGUAGGUGGCAAGCGUUGUCCGGAUUUACUGGGUGUAAAGGGCGUGUAGCCGGGUUGACAAGUCAGAUGUGAAAUCCUGCGGCUUAACCGCAGAACUGCAUUUGAAACUGUUGAUCUUGAGUACUGGAGAGGCAGACGGAAUUCCUAGUGUAGCGGUGAAAUGCGUAGAUAUUAGGAGGAACACCAGUGGCGAAGGCGGGUUCCUGGACAUUAACUGACGCUGAGGCACGAAGGCCAGGGGAGCGAAAGGG